rnacentral:rRNA from 1 species
CAAUAGCGUAUAUUAUAGUUGUUGCAGUUAAAAAGCUCGUAGUUGGAUUUGUGGUUCGUCCCGCCGGCUGGGUCAUUGACCUUUGCUGUGCUGGUCGUCCAUCCUUGGGUGGAAUCUGUGUGGCAUUAGGUUGUCGUGCAGGGGAUGCCCAUCGUUUACUGUGAAAAAAUUAGAGUGUUCAAAGCAGGCUUAUGCCGUUGAAUAUAUUAGCAUGGAAUAAUGAUAUAGGACCUUGGUACUAUUUUGUUGGUUUGCGCACUGAGGUAAUGAUUAAUAGGGACAGUUGGGGGUAUUCGUAUUCCAUUGUAAGAGGUGAAAUUCUUGGAUUUUUGGAAGACGAACUACUGCGAAAGCAUUUACCAAGGAUGUUUUCAUUAA